rnacentral:rRNA from 1 species
AUUGAACGCUGGCGGCAGGCCUAACACAUGCAAGUCGAGAGGAGCGGCGGACGGGUGAGUAAUGCCUAGGAAUCUGCCUGGUAGUGGGGGAUAACGUCCGGAAACGGGCGCUAAUACCGCAUGCUAUCAGAUUCGCCUAGGUCGGAUUGGCUAGGUGGUGGGGUACAGGCCUACAAAGGCGACGAUCCGUAACUGGUCUGAGAGGAUGAUGAGUCACACGGGAACUGAGACACGGUCCAGACUCCUACGGGAGGCAGUAGUGGGGAAUAUUGGACAAUGGCCGAAAGCCUGCUCAAGCCAUGCCGCGUGUGUGAAGAAGUUCUACGGAUUGUAAAGCACUUUAAGUUGGGAGGCGUUACCAUCUGAAUCAGACCCGGCUAACUUCGUGCCAGCAGCCGCGGUAAUUC